UGCUUGUGCCACUAAAUGCCUAAAUGUCA
rnacentral:piRNA from 1 species